AGGUCAUUCCUAAAAAUAAUCAGUCCCAAUCACUUGAUGUGAAAAUCGACAUCACUACCAGUAAAAACGGAGUUUCUGAUGAAGAACGAUCAUAAAACGAUCAAUGAAAAAUUAAGAAUUAUUUCAAGCGAGGAUAACAUAGAGAACAAGCUCACAAAAUUCGAGUUAAUUCUAUACACUUAUAAUCAUAAAUCGGUUCAUAAUACUACAAAAAGAUCCCCAGCUGAUAUCUUCCUGUACGCCGGACUAUCAGAUUAUAACACCCAACUGAAUAAGGUUAGGAAGAUCAAUCAUUUCAAUAACGAUAGAAUCGACUUUGAAGUAGACACACGCUACAAAAAUGCACCCCUAGUUAAAAAAUAACAACCAAUCCGAUCAAAAGAAUAGGGGAAAUUCGGCAGAGUACCCGAAGAGAGUACUGGGAAUCUGGAGCUACAACAUGAUUAAGAUUAUAAUCUUACUAAUGUUCACCGUCCUACAGUCUACCGGACAGAAUAUAGAGAUAGAUCCCAUCAACUCAAGGAAUGGAUAUCUCAUAUUCAAAACAGAUACCAUUAACAUACCCAUUAAUUAUGAAUAUCAUUAUUUAACAAUUAAUAUAACAAGAACAGAUGAAACAUA